rnacentral:rRNA from 1 species
GUAAAUACGUAGGGUGCAAGCGUUAAUCGGAAUUACUGGGCGUAAAGCGUGCGCAGGCGGUUGUGUAAGACAGGUGUGAAAAUCCCCGGGCUUAACCUGGGAAUGGCAUUUGUGACUGGAAAGGCUAGAGUGUGUCAGAGGGGGGUAGAAUUCCACGUGUAGCAGUGAAAUGCGUAGAGAUGUGGAGGAAUACCGAUGGCGAAGGCAGCCCCCUGGGAUAGCACUGACGCUCAUGCACGAAAGCGUGGGGAGCAAACAGGAUUAGAUACCCUGGUAGUCCACGCCCUAAACGAUGUCUACUAGUUGUCGGGUCUUAAUUGACUUGGUAACGCAGCUAACGCGUGAAGUAGACCGCCUGGGGAGUACGGUCGCAAGAUUAAAACUCAAAGGAAUUGACGGGGACCCGCACAAGCGGUGGAUGAUGUGGAUUAAUUCGAUGCAACGCGAAAAACCUUACCUACCCUUGACAUGGCUGGAAUCCUUCAGAGAUGAGGGAGUGCUCGAAAGAGAACCAGUACACAGGUGCUGCAUGGCUGUCGUCAGCUCGUG